rnacentral:misc_RNA from 1 species
AAGUAAGCGUGCAAGCAGGCGCAGGUUUCUGCGACUGCGAACGCGUUUCGAUGACAAGUACGUUAGGUUCAAGGCAGCAAUUAAACAAUGAUAGCCAGUUUUGAGAGCGCAAAGUUCUCAUAAGUGUGGUGGCGAU